CGACAUCGACAGGGGAGCGCUCCGGCGCUGAGAGUGCGGCCCGUCCGCAGACCCUCGAACCUGAUCCGGCUCGCACCGGCGGAGGGAGUCGAGUUCUCACGAGG
rfam:Mobilicoccus pelagius NBRC 104925 DNA, contig: MOPEL085.